ACUGUGACUCCCCUAGGUUAUGAGCAGCCCAAGAGGAGGAACAAUGGUAGCUCCAGAAGUUCUAACAGGAAGAGGAAAGGGUCAGAGAUUUUAUUAAGAAAAGAAUUUUGGAGGAGUAAUCAGCGGAUUUGACUUGAAACAAUAGCUGCAGAAUAUGUUUAAUUUUGAAGAUCUACACUUUUAUUUCAGAGAAGUAUGGAGGGGCACAAUGAGUAAAUACAAAUGUUUGGUCCACUAUCUUGGAUCAGAAGGCUAGCCGAACAUCUUGGAUUCCACUGAGCUAAUUGACAUUGUAUAAUAAUGAAAAAAAUAAACAAAUUUCUCAAGACUCAAAAUAUCUAAGAAUGUAGGUCAAGAACAUUUAAGAGGGGGAAGAUGGGUGUAAAUAUCUGAGAACAUUCUGGGGAAAGGAGUUACAGUGAUGAACAAAGAAGACAUAUUUGAGAAGUGAAGAAUACAGACAAGUAAGCAGACAAAUACGAGACCGUGAUAAACCCUACCAUGAUCCAAUGAUCAGGUGCUAUGGGAACAUAAAGACAGACAUAUGCUUGGAACGAGGAGUCAGGAAAAUGUUCCCAGGGGAAAUGACAUCUCUGAAACCUAAAGGAUUUGAGAGGAACUCAUCAUGGCUGAGACAUCAUCUGUGAGGUGGAGAAUUGUGAGGCCUGAGGCAGGAGACAUAAGCAGAAAAAUUAUAAAGGAACAUCUGCCCCCACACUAGAGAGCUUGAACUUGACCAUGAGGGCAAAGAGAAGAGCAACUAAAGGGGUUGAGAUUGGGAUGCAACAAGGUCUGAUUUGCAUUUGAGAAAGAUCUCUCUUGCUAUAAUAUGUGGAAUGUGUUAAGAGAUGAAAACAACUGGGCACCUGGUGCUGGGAACUCAGAUAGGAGUCUGUGACCAUAACCCAGGAAAGCGGGGAGAAGGCCUUAGACUAAAAUAGUAGCAGUAGACUAGAGACAAGUGGAUAGAAUCAAUCUGGAGGGCAUGUCUGUGGCAGAGUCCACAAGGGUAGGAGGAAGGGCAUAAAGCUGUAGGCUAAAUGUGCUUUUUUAUCGGAGUCUGAGGACCCCAGAAUGUUCAGCUGCUCAGAGCAGGGCUUCCUGUGGGCUCCUUCUGUUUGCAGCCUGUUUCACCUUUCACAACGCAGCAUUAUUUGGUCUCCCCCUUUCCACAAAGGGCCUGUUCUCUGAACCUCUGUGGUCCAUUUUCCAUCUCCCUCCAACCCCACCUGAAACAGUGGCCUUUCCUCCUCACCUUCCCACCCACCCCAACCCUGUACACUUCCCAAAGCCCAAGAUAGUCCCUAUGGAGUGACUUCUUGAGGGCUUCUAUUGAAAAGGCAGGGAUAGCCCUUGACUCUAUAGAGUUGACGGCAGAUAGUGGAUGAUGGAGGGAGAGAGGUAAUCCAGGAAACUGGUCCUUUUUAAGAUUGUAGUGGUUUAGGAUGCUAAAGCCAGAGGAUCACUUAAGGCCAGGAGUGAGUUCAAGACCAGCCUGAGUAACAUAGCAGUACUCCCAUCUCCCAUCUCCACAACAAACAAACAAAACAUUAGUUGGGCAUAAUGGCACGUGCCUGUAAUCCCAGCUACUCAGAAGGGAGGAUCACUUGAGCCCAGGAAUUAGAGGCUGCAAUGAGCUAUGGUCAUGCCAUUGUAUUCCAGCCUAGGAGGCAAAGUGAGACCCUGUCUCUUCUCUUUUGUUUAUUUUAUAGAUGGUCCAUCAGUCACUAGUGAAAAAAUUUAUAUACGUGCACAUGCAUACACACAGGCAUACUGAUACAGUUUGGCUGUGUCCCCACCCAAAUCUCAUCUUGAAUUGUAGCUCCCAUAAUCCCCAUGUGUCUUGAGGGGAGCUGGUGGGAGGUAAUUGAAUCAUGGGGAUAAGUUUUUCCCAUGCUGUCCUUGUGAUAGUGAAUAAGUCUCGUGAGAUCCGAUGGUUUUAUAAAGGGCAAUUCCCCUGCACACACGCUCUUGCCUGCCACCAUGUAAGAUGUGCCUUUGCUCCUCCUUCACCUUCCACCAUGAUUGUGAGGCCUCCACAGCCAUGUGGAACGGUGAGUCCGUUAAACCUCUUUUUCUUUAUAAAUUACCGUCUCGGGCAUUUCUUCACAUAGCAGUAGGAAAAUGGACUAAAACACACACAAAGCUCCAACAUACACAUACACACACACCCUCCAAAGGACAAUUAUUAAUUCUCAAAUAUAUACAGCCUAUAAAAUAAGAAAAAAUAAACAUUUUCCUAACUGCCUCAUAAUUUGCAAGUCACCUUUCUUACACAUAGAGUCAGUGUUUUAUUUCCUCCUUCUUCACUUUCAAUUUGUGCUUCUUCAUUCCUAGCAGGAAUAAGAAAGAGCCUACUGCUGAGUUAAAACACCUCUUCAUAAUUACUUCCAAGGUACCCAAUCUCCUAUUCAAAACUGUGAUACUAUUUGUCCUUAAGGCUUGAUUAAAUUUUUAGUCAAUGUUUCUCAUCAUCCUGUUUCUGCCGAGGGUAAGGAAAAAUAUUUAUUAUUUUAUUGUUUCAAAUGCAUCAAUAUGUUGUGUUCCUCUAGUCAAAUAAUAGAAAGUGUUUAGUAACAGUACAAUAUUAUGCAAAGGUCUCUGGUUAAAGUAAGACCUUGGCUCAAAAAUGCUCACUAACUGCCCAAUACUGAGUAAAUCACUUCUUUUUCCUAAGUCUUAGUUUCCUCAUCAGUACAGGGAUGGUUAACAUAGGUUGAGUUUCUUUUCCAUAAUAUAAUUUAUUUUGAGUGCAAAAUUACAUACGUAAGUAGUUAAUAUGUAGCAGUUGUUUUAAAACUACUGUAUUUAAUUUUGGCUAAAAUCAGAAAUCAUUUGAGGUAAUCAUUAAUUUUUGCAAAUGAAGCUGCUAAAGCACAGAAUGAGGUAAGUUCUGCCCAGUUCCACAAAGUGGCACAGUCAGGAACAAAGGCCAACUUCCUGAUUCUUGCUCAGAGUUCUUUCCAUUAUACCUUCUAGAGAGAGCUGGAGUGUGUGGAAGGGGGAGAAGAGCCUUUCACUAUGGAAUCUGUGCCCUAAGGACAUGUCCCCCACUAAAUGUCUAGGCAAAUGCCAGUUCUUUUCAAUGUCCAUGUGGUUUUGUCUUGGAUGGAAAAGUUUUUUUCCAGCACCACCUAUCCUAUUAUCUGUUUUGAAAGGGUAAUCUGUCAGGCACAUCAAACAUUAAAAGCAGUGGGAACAUUCUGAGGUUUAUAGUGUGUAUAUUUUUCUCACCAAUUAAAUCUUCACUCCUCAGUUAUCAGACAAAAG